rnacentral:rRNA from 1 species
AGUGAACGCUGGCGGUAGGCCUAACACAUGCAAGUCGAACGGCAGCACAGUAAGAGCUUGCUCUUACGGGUGGCGAGUGGCGGACGGGUGAGGAAUACAUCGGAAUCUACUUUUUCGUGGGGGAUAACGUAGGGAAACUUACGCUAAUACCGCAUACGACCUACGGGUGAAAGCAGGGGAUCUUCGGACCUUGCGCGAUUGAAUGAGCCGAUGUUGGAUUAGCUAGUUGGCGGGGUAAAGGCCCAUCAAGGCGACGAUCCGUAGCUGGUCUGAGAGGAUGAUCAGCCACACUGGAACUGAGACACGGUCCAGACUCCUACGGGAGGCAGCAGUGGGGAAUAUUGGACAAUGGGCGCAAGCCUGAUCCAGCCAUACCGCGUGGGUGAAGAAGGCCUUCGGGUUGUAAAGCCCUUUUGUUGGGAAAGAAAAGCAGCAGGUUAAUACCCCGCUGUUCUGACGGUACUCAAAGAAUAAGCACCGGCUAACUUCGUG